rnacentral:rRNA from 1 species
UACAGAGGGGGCAAGCGUUGUUCGGAAUUACUGGGCGUAAAGGGCACGUAGGCGGCCUGCUAAGUCGAACGUGAAAUCCCCGGGCUCAACCCGGGAACUGCGUCCGAGACUGGCAGGCUUGAAUCCGGGAGAGGGAUGCGGAAUUCCAGGUGUAGCGGUGAAAUGCGUAGAUAUCUGGAGGAACACCGGUGGCGAAGGCGGCAUCCUGGACCGGCAUUGACGCUGAGGCGCGAAAGCCAGGGGAGCAAACAGG